GGAUGAACGCUGGCGGCGUGCUUAACACAUGCAAGUUGAGCGAUUUACUUCGGUAAAGAGCGGCGGACGGGUGAGUAACGCGUGGGUAACCUACCCUGUACACACGGAUAACAUACCGAAAGGUAUGCUAAUACGGGAUAAUAUAUUUGAGAGGCAUCUCUUAAAUAUCAAAGGUGAGCCAGUACAGGAUGGACCCGCGUCUGAUUAGCUAGUUGGUAAGGUAACGGCUUACCAAGGCGACGAUCAGUAGCCGACCUGAGAGGGUGAUCGGCCACAUUGGAACUGAGACACGGCCCAGACUCCUACGGGAGGCAGCAGUGGGGAAUAUUGCACAAUGGGGGAAACCCUGAUGCAGCAACGCCGCGUGAGUGAUGAAGGUUUUCGGAUCGUAAAGCUCUGUCUUUGGGGAAGAUAAUGACGGUACCCAAGGAGGAAGCCACGGCUAACUACGUGCCAGCAGCCGCGGUAAUACGUAGGUGGCGAGCGUUAUCCGGAUUUACUGGGCGUAAAGGGAGC
rnacentral:rRNA from 1 species